ensembl:lncRNA
GUCCUGACACUAAAAUGAAAAUAUUAAAGUCAUGAUGAGUCUUGGUGUGUUUGUGAGAGAAUAAAUAUGAAAAUAAAAUAAAGAAAACAUAAAUUAUGCAUAUAAAAUAAAUAGUAUAAAUGAAAUAUGCAUAUAAAUGAACAGAAUAAUAAAAUAUGACUAAAUGAAGAGUAUAAAAGAAUAUGUAUAUAAAAUACAUAAAACAGAGUAGUGUGCUUAUAAAGUAAGUAGAAUAACUGGAAUACAGUAUAAUUAAAUAAAUAAAGGGUGUAAAUGAGCAUUUAAAAUAAAUAGUAUAGUAUAAAUAAAUAUGCAUAUGAAAUAAGCUGCUAAAUAAAUAAAACAAAAAUAAAAUUAAUUUAAGUUAAUAUGCAUACAGAAUAAUUAAAAUACAGUGUAUAAAAAUAAAUUGUAUAUAGAAUAAAUACAUUAAUAAGUAUAAAUAAAUAUGCAUGUAAAUUAUAUAUUCGUCAUACUUCCAUAUUGUUGAGGAACGAGAAGAACAGGAGCACACGAACAACAAUAGUCUUUUAAUCCAAAAUAUCCAGGAAGUAACACUUGGCAGACGGUAACACAGGAAACACAGGGUUGACGUUCAAUCUCCAACAAACACAAACUGAAAGGACUGAGGCUUUUAAACAGGAUAAUGGGGAAGAACGAAACACACAUGGGAAUCAAAUUAACAAUUAGAGGAACAUAGGUAAUAAUAAUAAUAAAUUUAUUGUGUAUAGCGCCUUUAAAAAUUACUUUCUCAAGGCGCUGUCCAAGAAAACUACAUAAAAGAAAAAACACAACAAUAAAAUACAAGAUAUUAUACAAAGCAAUAAUGCAAAAGAAGAUAGAUUACAGAACAAUCAAAUAAAAGAUUCCCUAAAAAAGAAUGUUUUAAGCAAGGUUUUAAAAACAGCUAAAGAAUUAGCAACCCUAAUGUCAGUUGGGAGAGAGUUCCACAGUUUUGGGGCAUAUGAAGUAAAGGCCCUGUCACCCCUGGAUCGUAACCUUGUUUUGGGGACAGCUAAGAGACCGUGCUGAGAAGAGCGUAAAUUGCAAGUUGGCGUGUAAGAUGUUAAAAGAUCUGCCAAGUACUGUGGAGCGAGUCCAUGCAG